rnacentral:rRNA from 1 species
CAAAACGGAGGAAGGUGGAGAUGACGUCAAAUCAUCAUGCCCCUUAUGACCUGGGCUACACACGUACUACAAUGGUCGUUAACAGAGGGAAGCAAGGCCGCGAGGUGGAGCGAACCCCUAAAAACGAUCUCAGUUCAGAUUGCAGGCUGAAACUCGCCUGCAUGAAGAUGGAAUUGCUAGUAAUCGCGGAUCAGCAUGCCGCGGUGAAUACGUUCCCGGGCCUUGUACACACCGCCCGUCACACCAUGAGAGCCGGGGACACCCGAAGUCGGUUGGGUAACCGUAAGGAGCCCGCCGCCGAAGGUGGAAUCGGUAAUUGGGGUGAAGUCGUAACAAGGUAACCAAGCC